AUAAUUUCUUUAAACAAUAAAAGCUGCUUUCUGUAAAGUGAUAUAUAGCGUUUUGUAAUGAAACCAGUGACCAGUCUAUGGAUCCUCUUAUAGACUUUAGAGAGGGAGACUUUUCUACUGAACAAAGUCCAAUCAAGCAGGAGAGACCAGCCUCCCCUGUACCCAGCUGUGUGUCCAUGAAGAGUGACCAGUCCAUGGGUCAUCCUAUACAUUUUAGGGAGGGAGACUUUUCUACUGAACAAAGAAACCAACAGGAGAGAUCAGAGUCAGAGAUUCUCAGUGGUCAGUCUUCCCAGAGUCAUCAAACAGACCUGGAC